UACGUAGGGUCCGAGCGUUGUCCGGAAUUACUGGGCGUAAAGAGCUCGUAGGUGGUUUGUCGCGUUGUUCGUGAAAACUCACAGCUCAACUGUGGGCGUGCGGGCGAUACGGGCAGACUGGAGUACUGCAGGGGAGACUGGAAUUCCUGGUGUAGCGGUGGAAUGCGCAGAUAUCAGGAGGAACACCAAUGGCGAAGGCAGAUCUCUGGGCCGUAACUGACGCUGAGGAGCGAAAGCAUGGGGAGCGAACAGG
rnacentral:rRNA from 1 species